UGCGAACGUGUUGGACGCGACCGAGCACGCACUUCCAUUCGAAAGCCUGAAGAUGUGCCACCUUCCGGGCCGUUGUUGACGCGGUGAAUCGAGGCGGAAAAAUCGAUUGUGCUCGUGUGAUUAUUUUUGUUUUGAUUUGCGGCCUCCCGCUCUCGUAAUCCCCGCGCGGCCUUGGCCACAUGACUCAUGCCAGGCUGGAACAAUGAAAAACCACAAUAAGUACGUCAAGUUGCCCCAAGACCUUGAUCUGAGUUUCCACAGUGAUUUGGACCUGCUGCCGGAUACGGCGGCCGACAUCGACGUAGAACUAGACCCGGCUGCAGACACGGAUGUGGCCGCGCUUAGUGUGAACGUGCCUUCGUAUCUGGGCCUGGACGAGGACGACGACGUGGUAAUCAUCGCCCCCGGCGGAGAAGGCCUUCGACUGGCUCCCACGGCGGCGGAGGCAGUGUCGGCACGCAAGCAGCAGCUGCAAGGGCAGCAGCGCAAGCAGCUGAAGAAUCAGCUGGAUCAGCAGGAGAUCCUGCCCAAGAGCAAGAUCUGCGGACUAGGCAGCGACAGUAUCUUCAAGACGGGCCUAACCCUCACACCCGAAAUGCUGUUAUCCACCUCGGAAUCAUCGACCCACAGUGCCUCCGAGGUCGCCGGACGACUGCAGGUCGACGUGCGUACCGGACUCAAAUGGUCAGAGGCCAAGUAUCGAGCCAAGAUCAUCGGGCAUAACGAGCUGCUGCUUGUGGCAGAGGAUCCCACAUGGAAGAAGUAUAUUGAGCAGUUUAAGAACCCGCUCAUUCUGCUGCUUCUCGGUUCUGCUCUGGUAUCCGUGAUAAUGAAGCAGUUUGACGACGCCGUAAGCAUAACUAUUGCCAUCCUAAUCGUGGUCACGGUGGCCUUUAUCCAGGAGUACCGCUCCGAGAAGAGUCUGGAGGAGCUCAAGAAGCUGGUGCCACCUGAAUGCCACUGCCUGCGGGAAGGUCGGCUGGACACCUUUCUGGCACGCGAACUUGUUCCCGGGGACAUAGUCCACCUUAACGUGGGCGACCGGGUGCCCGCCGACGUGCGCCUUUUUGAAGCUGUUGAUCUGUCUAUCGACGAGAGCAGUUUCACUGGCGAAACAGAGCCGGCGCGCAAAAUUACUGAUGUUCUGUUGAACAAUACGAACGUUAAGGACCACAGCAACAUGAAAAACAUUGCCUUCAUGGGCACUUUGGUGCGAUGUGGCAACGGCAAAGGCAUAGUUGUCAGCACUGGGGAGCGCAGUGAGUUCGGUGAGGUCUUCAAAAUGAUGCAGGCAGAGGAGGCUCCGAAGACGCCACUGCAGAAGUCGAUGGACAUUCUGGGCGCUCAGUUGAGCUUCUAUUCCUUCCUAAUUAUCGGUGUCAUCAUGCUGCUGGGCUGGCUACAAGGCAAGCCGCUCUCGGAAAUGUUCAACAUCAGCGUCUCACUUGCCGUUGCGGCCAUCCCCGAGGGCCUUCCUAUCGUGGUAACUGUGACUCUAGCACUAGGCGUAAUGCGAAUGGCUAAACGAAAUUCCAUCGUUAAAAAGCUGCCUACUGUUGAGACUUUGGGCUGCGUAAACGUCAUUUGCUCUGACAAGACGGGCACUUUGACUAAGAACGAGAUGACGGCCACGAUCAUCAUCACUUCCGACGGAUACAUGGCUGACGUUACAGGUGCCGGUUACAACGACCAGGGUGAAAUCCACAUACGGCAUUGCAACAAUGUGGAGAUGGCCAAGACCAACAUUACGAACCUUCUGGAAAUCGGGGCGGUCUGCAACAACGCCUACAUUCAAAAUGGCACACUACUAGGACAGCCCACUGAGGGAGCACUUGUGGCGGUAGCCAUGAAGAACGGAAUGUACGCCACAGCUGAGAACUACGUUCGCAUUCAGGAGUAUCCCUUCAGUUCGGAGCAGAAAAUGAUGGCUGUGAAGUGCAUCCACAAGUACAACAACAACAAGGAAGAGAUUUUCUUCGCAAAGGGGGCUCUCGAGACCCUGUUGCCGCAGUGCACCAAGUAUCAGUUCGGUACCCAAACGGUUCCACUUACCAAACAGAACGAAGCCGAGUUCCUAGCCGAGGCGUACGAGAUCGGACGGAAGGGGCUUCGCGUGUUGGCGUUGGCCAAGGGCCGGUCAGUGCAAGAUCUGAUUUACUGCGGCCUCGUCGGCAUCACUGACCCACCGAGGCCCCUUGUGCGGGAGUCCAUUGAAAUGCUGAUGCAGAGCGGGGUGCGUGUCAAAAUGGUGACUGGAGAUGCCCAGGAAACGGCCUUGGCCAUUGCGAAUCUCAUCGGUAUCGAUACAAUCCACCACCAGACGCUUUCCGGUCAGGAAAUGGAUCAAAUGAACGAGCACCAACUGGACAAGGUAGCCAACAACGUUAGCGUCUUCUACCGCGUUUCGCCACGCCACAAACUGGAGAUAGUCAAGUCCUUGCAGCGCAGUGGCAACAUAGUCGGCAUGACUGGCGACGGGGUGAAUGACGGAGUGGCUCUGAAGAAGGCGGACAUCGGCAUAGCUAUGGGCAAGAACGGGACAGAUGUGUGUAAAGAGGCGGCUGAUAUGAUUCUGGUCAAUGACGAUUUCCACACUAUAAUCGCCGCCAUCGAGGAGGGCAAGGGCAUCUUUUACAACAUUCGAAACUUCGUGCGCUUUCAGCUAAGCACAUCAAUAGCUGCCCUGGCCCUGAUUGCCCUGGCUACUCUGAUGGACAUUGCUAACCCUCUGAAUGCCAUGCAGAUUUUGUGGAUCAACAUCAUAAUGGACGGCCCGCCCGCACAGUCUCUGGGUGUGGAGCCCGUCGACCACGAUGUGCUCAAACAGAAGCCACGGAAUGUGAAACAACCGAUGAUCACAAAGUCUGUGGUGGUGAACGUUCUGCUUAGUGCCAGCAUAAUUGUACUGGGCACGCUGUGGGUGUUCCAGCGUGAGAUGGCCGACGGAACGCUGGGAAAGACCAAACGGGACACGACAAUGACCUUUACUUGUUUCGUGUUUUUCGACAUGUUUAAUGCCCUAUCUUGCCGCUCGCAGACAAAAAGUGUCUUCACCAUCGGACUCACUACCAAUCGGAUGUUCUUGCUGGCCGUCGCCUUUUCGAUCAUUGGUCAAAUGCUCGUUGUCUACUUUCCGCCGCUGCAAAUGGUUUUCCAGACGGAAGCACUUACGCCGUAUGACAUAUUCUUCCUGGUCUCCCUAACCUCCUCUGUGCUGGUUGUUUCAGAGAUAAAGAAAUGGUUCGAGCGUACCAUGGAGCGCAAGAUGUACAGCUCCCGCACCGAGCUAGAUUUUGUAUGACAAAACGCAAGCGCUAGAGAAGAUUUGCACCCCAAAGCCGAGUAAAUUAAAUAACUAACAAAAAAAUCAAUAAAAAAGUAAAACUAUGCCAAAACAAGCGAGGAGCGCGGCGAAGUAAAGUCAGAGAGUUGCAAAAGCCGAAACAAGAGCUAUGAAGCAAGGAUGUGUGUGUUUAAUUUUACACUUGACUUGACCAGUUAAAAAAAUUUAAUUGUCAUUGUGGGUUUUCAAUCAGGUUGCGCAGCAGAGAUUUUCAUAGAUUUGAACUAAGAUUCAAGCUAAGCAACCGGAUUAUAAAUCGAGUGAACACCUACUUCGAGUAUGUUCACCUGGAAAAUGCAAUACCACUAUGUCACAGUAAACAUACAAAAACUAAAACGGAAGCGAGUCAAAAAAAGGCAUGAAAUGGACAAAACUAAGCGAGGCGUAGUAGAGUAAAACAUGGUUUUUUUGGUAUUAUUGAUCAAUAAUUUAUUCGGUAUUUGAAAAGCAAGCAUUCAAUUUGUGUGAAAUUGAGGCAAAUCAAAACUCUAGCGUGCUAAAAAAAAAAAUGGACAGUCAAGAUGGACAUAAUAGCGUCAAAAACGCUAUUAUUUACUGUGGGUGUUAAUUUGACGCUUUGGUAUAUAAAUUGAUAAUUAAUCGGAUUACCAAAACGGAAUAAUACACCAACCAUAUGAAAAAUUUUACAAAGCAAAGGCACCACAUUUACUCGAAUGUAAAGCAAUUUUCGGUCAUAUAUUUAAAUAAAAAAUAAAUGUAGAUAAAUGCAUGGAAA